UGCUCCAUCAGGAGUUCAUCUUUCAAGCUCAGGACAGGUUCUGAAGCUAUGCUUUUUUGGGACACGUGAAGCCUCCCUCUUAAAGAAAAGAGAUCUCACAGUAGAGCAGAUUGUGCCACACGCAUGAGAGAAUGGUCAUCAUAGAAUCAGAAUGGCCUGGGUUGAGA